rnacentral:rRNA from 1 species
AAUCAACGCUGGCGGCGUGCCUAACACAUGCAAGUCGAACGCGAAAGCCCGCAAGGGCAAGUAGAGUGGCGCACGGGUGAGUAACACGUGGACAACCUGCCUUCGAGUGGGGAAGUAAACCUUCCGAAAGGAGGGCUAACACCGCAUAACACCUCAGGACACAAGUUCUGAGGUUGAAAAGAGCAAUUUGCUCGAAGAGGGGUCUGCGCCUGAUUAGCUAGUUGGUGAGGAACGGCUCACCAAGGACUUCGAUCAGUAGCCGUCCUGAGAGGGAGC